CGUAGGGUGCAAGCGUUAAUCGGAAUUACUGGGCGUAAAGCGUGCGCAGGCGGUUGUGUAAGUCUGUCGUGAAAUCCCCGGGCUCAACCUGGGAAUUGCGAUGGAGACUGCACGGCUAGAGUGUGUCAGAGGGGGGUAGAAUUCCACGUGUAGCAGUGAAAUGCGUAGAUAUGUGGAGGAACACCGAUGGCGAAGGCAGCCCCCUGGGAUAACACUGACGCUCAUGCACGAAAGCGUGGGGAGCAAACAGGAUUAGAUACCCUGGUAGUCCACGCCCUAAACGAUGUCUACUAGUUGUCGGGUCUUAAUUGACUUGGUAACGCAGCUAACGCGUGAAGUAGACCGCCUGGGGAGUACGGCCGCAAGGUUA
rnacentral:rRNA from 1 species